AAGGAUCAUUACAAAAAUCCAAAUUAUCCAUUUGUGAACCAAGCCUAACUGUGGUUAGGCGAGCUGCUUGGCGAGUCGUUUGACUUGCCGGCAACAAAUAAACUAAAUGUAGUCAAUGUGUGAAACUAAAAAGCAAAACAACUUUUAACAGUGGAUCUCUUGGCUCUU
rnacentral:misc_RNA from 1 species